CCUUAUCAAGAGCGGCGGAGGGUACAGGCCCUGUGAAGCCCGGCAACCUGCCAACCGUGGAAACGCGGCGCAAGGUGCUAAUUCCUGCGGCCAUCCGGCCGGCAGAUGAGG
rnacentral:ncRNA from 1 species